rnacentral:rRNA from 1 species
GGGUCAGUAGGUUGGUCGUGCCACCGGUACGUACUGGUCUCACUGAUUCCUCCUUCCUGAAGAACCGUGAUGCCAUUAAUUUGGUGUGGCGGGGAAACAGGACUGUUACUUUGAAAAAAUUAGAGUGUUUAAAGCAAGCUAACGCUUGAAUACAUUAGCAUGGAAUAAUGAAAUAGGACGAUCGAUCCUAUUUUGUUGGUUUCUAGGAUUGACGUA